GAUAACCACAAUGUGAAAAGCUUCAUCACAAGUACAAAUGUUGCAUUUUAUCUUACUUAAUUAAAUGUAAAGGUGAAUAUUGAGCUAUUAAAAGCAAAUUUUAAAAGCAAUAUUGAGCUAUAAAAAGCAAUGUCUUUAGAGGUCCAAAGUACUUCCAAUAUGAAAGUCACAGCCAAAAUCUGGGUCAGUUGUUUUAAUUUUAAUUCUCAUACAGGUGCACUGGAUGCUGCUGCAGCAUGCAUACAGCAAUUGGAGCAAUUGGUGCACUGGAUGCUGCUGCAGCAUGCAUACAGCAGUUGGAAGAAACAGUCAAGGAGCUGACGAGAGCUGUCGCAGCUGAAAGUGGUUCAAGUGCCUUUUCACAGAUUUUCUGUCUCAGACAAGAACAUCCUUUUUAGGCCUUUAAGGCCCUGUCUCCCAUGUUGUUAUACAUGGGCCAACUACCGUUACCUGCUCCUUGCCUCCCUCCCCAUCUGGAUGAGUAAACAGAAAGUCAAGAACACCAUGCCAAGCAAAUUUGUGCAGUACAGUCCAGAUGUUUCGGGUAAUCAUCGACUGCACCGAGGUGCGAUGCCAGAAUCCAUCAUCCCUCACCCGGAGUUUUUCUCAUCUUACAAGAACACAAAACCUUUAAGGCCUUGAUUGGGAUUGCCCCUUGUAGUACUGUGACUUUUGUGUCUUUUGUGUCUCCUCACCGGCUCCAUCUCCGACCGAGAGCUGACUGAACGAAGUGGACUGCUGGAUUUACUGGAGCCAGGAGAUGGCUGCAUGGCAGACAAGGGUUUCACCAUCGAGAAGCCACUAGCUAGCUGAUCGUGGAGCAACGCUGAUUAUACCACCCUUCAAGAUGACAGGAAUACCGCAUCUGGGAACGCACUGUCCUCUCACCUUGUCUGGGACAGUCAACCAGCUGUGGACCGUCUGCUGUGUGAUGACCAACUUCCAGGGACCACUUGAUUUAAAAGACUACAUCCCCGUUGAAUAGUGUUUCUACUCAAACAUGUACCUAUAAAUAUUAAAUAUAAUAUAUAAAUAUUAAAACGAGAGACACUGAACAUUUGUCCCUUCAUUUUUGGUCCCUUCAUUUUUUCCGGAGCUGUAAUUCUGUAUACUGAAAACAUUGUAUGUAUUGAAUGACAUGUGUGUAAUUGAUUGAGAAGUCUUUCAUCUAUAAUCUAUUUUAAAGUCCAGUCAGUCCAUCCUGAAAGUAUUCAAAAUAAUGUUAAUAUGUAAUGUAGAAAAUGAUGUACUCAGAAAAAGGGAAUGAAUUAAAUCCUUUUAUUCUUUCA